UGUAUACAUAAUAAAUAAAUAAAUAUUUAAAAAAAAAAAAAGAGUUGGGACAGUUACUGUUCAUGCCAGGGUUAUUAGCUCUUGACUCACACUCUCUAAGUUUAGCCUGCUUUAGAUUAUACUCUAUUGCAUGUGCAUAUCAACAUGGCUCAUUUGAACCUUGAGAAAUGCUAAAGAUUAUCAUUAGUGGUGAAAUAUUUUAAGUAAAAAGCUUCCAAAAGGCAUGUUCUUGGUAAAGAUGUUGAAAAUAAAAACACUGAAAAGACUUGGUAUAAAAUUUAAAAGCCUUUGCUUACCAGAGCUUCUUUAUCAACUUUCUCUUUCUCAAAGACAGUGAGGAACUCAGAGAGUUGAAGUUUCUUCAGUUCUUCUUCUAACGUUGGUACAUCUCCUUGAUCCUCAACAGUUCUAAAUAAACCCUAAAAAUUAUAUCAUAUAGCUUGUUAUUCACAAAAUUCAUUUAGUUUUAUUAAUACUAUUUUAUAAUUUGAAAUGUAUUAUGUAAGAUAUUCACCAUAAUAAAUCUUAACAUUAACUACUUGGUUUUGUUUUUGAAACAAGAUCUCACGAGGUCCAAGAUGGUCUCAAACUUAUUAUCCUCUCCAGUAAAGGAUUAGAGGUGUACACCGCCAUCCUCAGCGUGGAUUUCAAUGUUAAAUGUGUAUAUACAUCUGUGUUUGUAUACGUAUAUAAAAUAUUAGUCGGACACUGGAAAUUGGAAUUAUUUCCCUAUGAGAAUGGCCUUUUACUCCUGAAAUUGCCAAAAACAUCACCAAGGAUUUACCAUGGGGUACCCGGGAGAUGAGGGGGCUCAAACAUCGACUGGGGGUUGCCAGGAGUUUGGAGUAGGUGGGGGAACCCCAGCUGUCCCUCCUCCUUCUAAUGCCACAGAAAAGGGUCCUCUGGUCAGCUCCCAUCCCUGUGCCCCAAUAUCCAGUUUUCCUCAGGAGGAGGUGGAUUAGGGACUUGGGAAAGGAAAGGGCCCAGGAUGGGAAAAGGUCACAUUUCCCAUGUAUUCACAGUACUGUUCUUCCAGGGAGCAGAAAUUGGGAAAGUUUGCUGAAUCAGACUUCCCUCUUGCCCUGGACUUGGAAAUCUGAAUGUUAACUAGAAAUGAUACUUUUCUUUUUUCCUUUUUUGAGACAGGUCUAAGUAGCCAUGAUCAUCCUGGAACUUGUUGUGCAGAUCAGACUGGCUCAAACUCACACAGACCUUCUGUCUCUGCCACCUGAGUGCUCAGAUUAAAGGCGUGUAAUACCACAGCAGAAGAGGGUGUGAAGUCCCAAGACCUGGAGUUACAGGCAGUUGUGAGCUACCUACCGUGUGCUCUUCUGCAGUGGGCAGCGGUUCAUUCAGAGAUUUACAACUGGCCAAAUGAAAGAAUCGGUGACUGUUGGGUGCUCAACCCUACACGGGACUUCUAUAGUAACCCCUCCAAAGCUCUGGGAACAAUGCAGAAGAGAAGGCAGAAGAUGAUGCGAGAGCUAAAGGCAAGGGAGAGAUGCUGGGAAGUGCUGUCUUCUGCACAUAUGGCUGCUGCACUCAUGAACUCACUGCAGUCAUGGUUACACAGGAAGUAAAAAUAAUAAAUCCGCACAAGGCCAAGUCAACCAGAUCAGUCAACAUUCCAUCAAGCAGCAGUAACUGGAUGUAGUGAGUUACACACAAAAGACAUGAAGGUGGGAGGAACCUGUUGGAGAUUAACAGGACAGUGGAAGGGAUGUAUUGCAAGUAAAUAUCAUCAAGAUACUCUGAAUACGUAUAUAAAAUAGUCAAAGAAUAGACAAAAGAUCUUUUUCAAAUGUGUGAUGACGAGAACAUAGCUCAGGAUGCUUCCCUAGUAGCAUGCACCAAGCACUGCAUGACUGACCAGGUGUGGUGUGCCUGCAAUCCUAGCACUGGAAGUUUGGGCAGGAGGAUCAGGAAUUCAAGAGUUUUUGAGCUAGUAUCUCAUGUAGACUAGACUGACCUUAAAGUUGCUAUGUGCUAAAGACGACUUUGAACUCUUGCUCUUCCUACUUCCACUUCCACCACGCUAGGAUUAUAGGCAUUUGCUACCUAACUAGGUCUCAGGAACAUUUAUUUGGUAAUUAAAUCUUUUUUGAGAAUUUUGUGUAUAAAUGUAGUAUAUUUUGUAGAACAUUUUGAAUGGUACUGAUUUAUUGAAUAAACUGUACAUAUUAAAAAAAUAUA